CCUACGGGUGGCUGCAGUGAGGAAUAUUGGUCAAUGGCCGGAAGCCUGAACCAGCCAAGUCGCGUGAGGGACGACUGCCCUAUGGGUUGUAAACCUCUUUUAUAAGGGAAGAAUAAAUGCUACGUGUAGCCUGAUGCGUGUACCUUAUGAAUAAGCAUCGGCUAACUCCGUGCCAGCAGCCGCGGUAAUACGGAGGAUGCGAGCGUUAUCCGGAUUUAUUGGGUUUAAAGGGUGCGUAGGCGGUUAUUUAAGUUAGUGGUUAAACGUCGGGGCUUCACGUUGAUUUGCCAUUAAUACUGGAAGUCUUGAGUUCAGACGAGGUAGGCGGAAUGAGUGAAGUAGCGGUGAAAUGCUUAGAUAUAACUUAGAACUCCGAUAGCGAAGGCAGCAUACCAGACUGCGACUGACGCUGAAGCACGAGAGCGUGGGUAGCGAACAGGAUUAGAUACCCUAGUAGUC
rnacentral:rRNA from 1 species